rnacentral:rRNA from 1 species
UACGGAGGAUGCAAGCGUUAUCCGGAAUUAUUGGGCGUAAAGAGUCCGUAGGUGGCGAUUCAAGUCUGCUGUCAAAGCGUGGAGCUUAACUCCAUUAAGGCAGUGGAAACUGAAUGGCUAGAGUCCGGUAGGGGUAGCGGGAAUUCCCAGUGUAGCGGUGAAAUGCGUAGAGAUUGGGAAGAACAUCGGUGGCGAAAGCGCGCUACUGGGCCGGAACUGACACUGAGGGACGAAAGCUAGGGGAGCGAAAGUG